CAUAAAGUAGAAAGCACUACUAAACAGCACUGCAGGGUGUAGUGUUUCCUACUUUAUGGA
rnacentral:pre_miRNA from 5 species